rnacentral:tRNA from 1 species
CAGGCCAGAGCUUGAUUAUAAGCUUUUUAUUUACACUAAAAGGAUAGUUAGACUGUAACUUGGCCUGA